rnacentral:rRNA from 1 species
CCUACGGGUGGCAGCAGUGAGGAAUAUUGGUCAAUGGGCGCGAGCCUGAACCAGCCAAGUCGCGUGAGGGAAGAAGGCCCAAUGGAUCGUAAACCUCUUUUGUCGGGGAGCAAAAGACGGCACUCGUGCCGUCCUGAGAGUACCCGGAGAAAAAGCAUCGGCUAACUCCGUGCCAGCAGCCGCGGUAAUACGGAGGAUGCGAGCGUUAUCCGGAUUCAUUGGGUUUAAAGGGUGCGCAGGCGGAAGUUCAAGCCAGCGGUAAAAUUGAGGGGCUCAACCUCUGCGAGCCGUUGGAACUGGGGGUCUUGAGUGAGUGGGAGGUAUGCGGAAUGCGUGGUGUAGCGGUGAAAUGCAUAGAUAUCGCGCAGAACCCCGAUUGCGAAGGCAGCGUGCCGGGGCGCAACUGACGCUCAUGCACGAAAGUGUGGGUAUCGAACAGGAUUAGAUACCCUGGUAGUC